rnacentral:rRNA from 1 species
AUUGAACGCUGGCGGCAGGCCUAACACAUGCAAGUCGAACGGUAACAGGAAGCAGCUUGCUGCUUGCUGACGAGUGGCGGACGGGUGAGUAAUGUCUGGGAAACUGCCCGAUGGAGGGGGAUAACUACUGGAAACGGUAGCUAAUACCGCAUAAUGUCGCAAGACCAAAGAGGGGGACCUUCGGGCCUCUUGCCAUCGGAUGUGCCCAGAUGGGAUUAGCUAGUUGGUGAGGUAACGGCUCACCAAGGCGACGAUCCCUAGCUGGUCUGAGAGGAUGACCAGCCACACUGGAACUGAGACACGGUCCAGACUCCUACGGGAGGCAGCAGUGGGGAAUAUUGCACAAUGGGCGCAAGCCUGAUGCAGCCAUGCCGCCGUGUAUGAAGAAGGCCUUCGGGUUGUAAAGUACUUUCAGCGGGGAGGAAGGGGUUAAGGUUAAUAACCUUAGCCAUUGACGUUACCCGCAGAAGAAGCACCGGCUAACUCCGUGCCAGCAGCAGC